UACGGGGGGAGCAAGCGUUGUUCGGAUUUACUGGGCGUAAAGGGCGCGUAGGCGGUCAGCACAAGUCAGUUGUGAAAUCUCCGGGCUUAACUCGGAAAGGUCAACUGAUACUGUGCGACUAGAGUGCGGAAGGGGCAACUGGAAUUCCGGGUGUAGCGGUGGAAUGCGUAGAGAUCCGGAAGAACACCGGUGGCGAAGGCGGCCUGCUGGGCAGUAGCUGACGCUGAUGCGCGACAGCGUGGGGAGCAAACAGG
rnacentral:rRNA from 1 species